AUCAGGCCUGAUGAAUGUGGGAUUACCCGCUGAAUUUAAGCAUA
rnacentral:rRNA from 1 species